CAGCAGCCACGGGAAUACGUAGGUGGCAAGCGUUGUCCGGAAUUAUUGGGCGUAAAGCGCGCGCAGGUGGUUUAAUAAGUCUGAUGUGAAAGCCCACGGCUCAACCGUGGAGGGUCAUUGGAAACUGUUAAACUUGAGUGCAGGAGAGAAAAGUGGAAUUCCUAGUGUAGUGGUGAAAUGCGUAGAGAUUAGGGGGAACACCAGUGGCGAAGGCGGCUUUUUGGCCUGUAACUGACACUGAGGCGCGAAAGCGUGGGGAGCAAACAGGAUUAGAUACCCCCGUAGUCCCUGUCUCUUAUAC
rnacentral:rRNA from 1 species